rnacentral:lncRNA from 1 species
UUUUUUUUUUCAUACAGACAUCCAAUUGUUUCAGGAAAAUUUACUGAAAAGACUAUUCUUUCUCCAAUGCCAUGCCUUUGAACCUUUAUUAAAAAAUGAGUUGGCCCUUUCCCUUGGUCUCUUUCCCUUGGUGGUAGUGGUAACAGAUCGUGCAGGCCGGGCCAAGAUUAAGGCUGGAGACCUUCUCAGCAAGAAGGAAGAACUGCUGAAACAGCUGGAAGACCUGAAAGUGGAGCUGUGGCGGUGGCUAAAGAAUUGGAGAAAUUGGGGCAAGUCCUUAUUUCUAGAAUCUUAUAACCGCCUUUACUCUGAAGAUAUGAUGGGCACAACCAGCAAAAGACAGCAAUAAGUCACAGAAUAUGACUCAAGCUCAUGGCUGAAGAGGAUUAUCAGUCUUCCACAGUGAAAAGACCUAUAUUGUAGAAUCACAUACACUUAAAGGUGGUGGAAAGGACUUUGAAGUAAACAGGCGCAGUCGUUCAGCCAUUCAUUGCAGGCUACCUUCAAUAAUCCUCCUGAGUUGUUCACCCAGACUUUGCUUGAGCACUUCCAAUGAGAAAAAGGAUGGGAGGAGCUGAUGGCUCAUGGUAAGGUUAGCCACAUGAAAUCACUUGACCUUCCCCACAAACUGGAUCCUCUUUCAGUAUCCAAUUCUCAAUGAUGGCACCACUCUCUAUCCACUUAGAAAAACAAACAAACAAACAGGGGCGCCUACGUGGCUCAGUAGGUUGAGAGUCCGAUGGGCUCAGGUCAUGUCACGGUUGACAAGUUGGAGACCCGCGUCAGCCUCUGUGCUGAAAGCUCAGAGCCUGGAGCCUGCUUCAGAUUCUGAGCCUCCCUCUCUCUCUGCCCCUCCCUCGCUCAUGCUCUGUCUCUGUGUCA